rnacentral:rRNA from 1 species
AUUGAACGCUGGCGGCGGGCCUAACACAUGCAAGUCGAGCGGGGUUUUCGGACCUAGCGGCGGACGGGUGAGUAAUGCGUAGGAAGCUACCCGAUAGAGGGGGAUACCAGUUGGAAACGACUGUUAAUACCGCAUAAUGUCUACGGACCAAAGUGUGGGACCUUCGGGCCACAUGCUAUCGGAUGCGCCUACGUGGGAUUAGCUAGUUGGCGUGGUAAUGGCUCACCAAGGCGACGAUCCCUAGCUGGUUUGAGAGGAUGAUCAGCCACACUGGGACUGAGACACGGCCCAGACUCCUACGGGAGGCAGCAGUGGGGAAUAUUGGACAAUGGGGGAAACCCUGAUCCAGCAAUGCCGCGUGUGUGAAGAAGGCCUGAGGGUUGUAGAGCACUUUAAUUGGUGAGGAAGGUAUAUAUGUUAAUAGCGUAUGUGCUUGACGUUAGCCAAGGAAUAAGCACCGGCUAACUCUGUGCCAGCCGCCGCUGUAACAC